rnacentral:tRNA from 7 species
GCGGAUAUGGCGGAAUUGGCAGACGCGCUAGAUUCAGGUUCUAGUGACUUCACGGUCAUACAGGUUCAAGUCCUGCUAUCCGCACCA